UGAGGAAUAUUGGUCAAUGGGCGAGAGCCUGAACCAGCCAAGUAGCGUGAAGGAUGACUGCCCUAUGGGUUGUAAACUUCUUUUAUAAAGGAAUAAAGUCGGGUAUGUAUACCCGUUUGCAUGUACUUUAUGAAUAAGGAUCGGCUAACUCCGUGCCAGCAGCCGCGGUAAUACGGAGGAUCCGAGCGUUAUCCGGAUUUAUUGGGUUUAAAGGGAGCGUAGAUGGAUGUUUAAGUCAGUUGUGAAAGUUUGCGGCUCAACCGUAAAAUUGCAGUUGAUACUGGAUAUCUUGAGUGCAGUUGAGGCAGGCGGAAUUCGUGGUGUAGCGGUGAAAUGCUUAGAUAUCACGAAGAACUCCGAUUGCGAAGGCAGCCUGCUAAGCUGCAACUGACAUUGAGGCUCGAAAGUGUGGGUAUCAAACAGGAUUAGAUACCCUGGUAGUCCACACGGUAAACGAUGAAUACUCGCUGUUUGCGAUAUACGGCAAGCGGCCAAGCGAAAGCGUUAAGUAUUCCACCUGGGGAGUACGCCGGCAACGGUGAAACUCAAAGGAAUUGACGGGGGCCCGCACAAGCGGAGGAACAUGUGGUUUAAUUCGAUGAUACGCGAGGAACCUUACCCGGGCUUAAAUUGCAGAUGAAUUACGGUGAAAGCCGUAAGCCGCAAGGCAUCUGUGAAGGUGCUGCAUGGUUGUCGUCAGCUCGUGCCGUGAGGUGUCGGCUUAAGUGCCAUAACGAGCGCAACCCUUGUUGUCAGUUACUAACAGGUUUUGCUGAGGACUCGGACAAGACUGCCAUCGUAAGAUGUGAGGAAGGUGGGGAUGACGUCAAAUCAGCACGGCCCUUACGUCCGGGGCUACACACGUGUUACAAUGGGGGGUACAGAGGGCCGCUACCACGCGAGUGGAUGCCAAUCCCCAAAACCUCUCUCAGUUCGGACUGGAGUCUGCAACCCGACUCCACGAAGCUGGAUUCGCUAGUAAUCGCGCAUCAGCCACGGCGCGGUGAAUACGUUCCC
rnacentral:rRNA from 1 species